AAGAAAAGUAAAUCAGUCCUUCCUCUUUCUCUUCUACUUGGUCACUAAUUGCAGUCGGUUCUGAGCCGCUGCCUCUUUUUCCACGCAUCAGGGGUGUUAGCGGAAUAUUUGGAGUGAAAUGUUGACGCAGUCAACAUAAGGGGAGCUAAAUAUAAAAUGGCUGCUGUUAUGCUAAUGGAUGCCACUGAAUAAUUCAAGCAUGGAUGAUAAUAAAAAUGGAAAAACAGGGGACCUGUCGAGCUACACCACCGCAUGUGUCACGACAGGGCACUAAUUUGCUGUCAAGCCCGAUACAACCCCCCUUCGACACCCCCUCCCUCAACCUGUGCACCCCCAUCUUCUCUUACAUUUCAGCUGUGAGGAUUAGUAAAUAUUUUGUCUUUCCCUGAACAUCUUUAGGGAGAGGAGGGAGCUGGUUAAGCGAGAACUUGAAAUUCGGGGAAUUAUAUUGAAAGAAGGUUAGCCGCGUCGCUCCGUGUUCUCUGUCAUGUACUCUCAGGAGAGGCUGAGGCCAGGCGGGAAAGAACAAGCUUGCGUCCUCGCUGCACCCUGCAGGCCUUCAGGGCCAACACACCAAGGUGAAGGCCACAUCAAAAGGAAGAUGAAAAGAGAGAUACAAGAGAAGGUCCCCAAAUUGGGGAAAUACUCUCUUUCUUUUCUCUCCUCUUGCCAUGACUGUGCAGCCCCUCGUCUGUCACCAAAACCCGUUUUUUCACGGUUGAUUCUCAACUUUUGCUUUCUUACCUUUCCUCUGCUGAAUCUGUGCAUUCCUGCAAAAAUCAUCCACUCCUGAGUCCCCUUUCAAAAAUGUUCACGUGAGGUUAAUGCACAUCAAUCAACCACGCACGUUCACACGUGAAAAACAGAAAAAUGAAAUGCAGCCACAGACAGUUCAUCACUGGAAGUAUUCUUGUGUACAUUAAUUAUUAGGGAUGGGGCUAUUUUUUAAACCUUACUAUAUUUACAGCCUUAUCACUGACCUGCUGAGACCUAAUCUCAAGUGACAGAUGACAGAAUUUGUUCUAGCCCCCACCACCGCACUCAUGCCCAUUACGUGGUUCACCAAGUAUUUGGUUGAAAACAUGGGAAAUUUUAUUUCUAACGAUGUGAUGCAUGCUGCUGCAAAUGUUGGUCAAUCUACAUCCUAAAUCUUAAAAGUGAUGUUUUUAAGUGAUGUGGAUAAAAACAGUCUAUGUUAGACAGUUAUGUCUGACUUACACACCGGGAUCAUUCCAGUCAUAAAUCCGGACAUUCAAACGUGUAUUGUCUUGGUCUGAUUUUCAGGUCCAAAGAAUAUGCUGCCUGUUGAAUGUGACAGCCAAUCAGAGAGCAAGGAGACAGAAGUGUGCUUUAUGCUUCUCCUCCACCGUCUUUGUUUACUCCAAUGUCACAGUUGAUCGUGCAAGAUUUCCAUCUGAUCAGAGGAUGUCCAUGCAGUAUAGGAGGGGAGAGGAGAAGAAGUGCAUGAGGGAGUAAAGAUGGAUGCCUGAUUCUGCUACAUGUGACGCAGGUUCGAAUUAAGCUUGGAAAAGUAUUUCUUGCCUACUCUUGAUACUCUCUGAAACAGUUGCCAUUACGCAACGUACAGUGGUGGACCUCUCAUGCUAAAAUUGGAAUAAGUUAAAAAAACCUAAGGCUAAAUCUUAAUUCCCAAAAUCCCAAAUCAUAAUAAUGCAAACAAAACCAAACUACGAAAACUCACAAAAUAGGAAAUAGACUGGAAAUGUCUGAAAAGGUAACCAACGUCUCACCAAAAUAAGCAGAAAAAUCAUUAGAAAGCUCAAGACGUUUGCUCAUCAGCCUUCUCCAGUGUCACUGCUGCAGCAUCCAGUGGUGUUUAGUGUGCUAAUGACGAUACUCAACUGUUUUAUUCAAUUAAUAUACUGUACUAUGCGACCAAAGAGGUGUGGCCAUCCACACAUGCUAUCAAUUUACACACAGAAAAAACCCAACCAUUAAAGGUUCAUCAUGAUGUGACGAAGCCAACAGGAGCAAUUAACUUUUCGUUUGUUUUAGUCACUCGUUUUGCUGCCUUUGCAGUCCCUGCGUGCUCCUUUCAGAGCAGCUCUCAUUAGCUACAUCCAACUCUUCCCCUGGUUUUCUGCAGUGUCCCUGUCCUGGGAAUGGUCUCACACUACUUAACGUUGUCCCCAGGUGUUCCUACCAUACUUCCUCCUGCUUAUUCCGGAUGCACGCAUAAAUAAAGUCCUCUUCCUGGCGCAACACAUCUUAAUUCCCAGAUUUCCACAAGGCAUGCUGUGGCCCUUUCACGGGCUCCACACUUAGCUCUAGUGAGCUUCCUGAGCCGGAUUUAAAAAAUGCCAAGGUUUCACACGUUAUGCUUAACAUUCAGUCUAACAUUAAUGAUGUUCUCCACAAAGGCAUGAGGCUGGAAAAUGUGUGGAAAGCAUUUUUUAAAGGCAAUCAUGAAUCGCGUUUGUGUGGUAAGAAGAAAUAAGGAAUGCCAAAUUUCUGAUAAUUAAUAAUCGCAUUGUAUGAAAUGGCAAAAACAAGCAGUAGCACGCCAAACUGGUAUUGAAAGAGAAAACUGAAUAAUUAAACACUGGUGCCAAGUCACAGAAACAGCAGGCCUUCAUGUUGACCUUAUUCUUUGCUUACAACCGGAGAGAAUACAUGCUUCUCAGUCUUAAAACGACAUUUCCAGUUUUUGUGAAAGUGCCACACAUUUCACACCAUUUCCAAAUUGCCAGUCAUGGGUACAAUGUGAUUUGUUAAAAAAUGUAGCAUUAACUCAAGGCAGAGAAAGAACUUUGCAUAUCUGGAGUGGAAGUUUGUGAUUUUACCCUGAAGUGUAUUCCAUAGUAUUCAUUUGACGGACACGGAAAAAUUCCAAGAAAUGAUCCAAUCCUAAAUAAUAUACCUUAACCAAUAACCAUAUUUAUCUUCAUGUUGUCCAUGAAAAACUGACAAGACAAAAUAAUUUCUAUUGUGUCUGUAGCUUCUGGAACACACAGUUUUCUGUGAACAAUCGUGUUUUUUCUUCGAAAGAGAAACUGAAAGAUUAUGGGUACAGUUUGUACAAGUCUCUCGGCGUAUGUCUUGAUCCUGAUCCUGUAACCAAUAAACCGUCUUUGUGUUCAGAAACAUAGAACUGAGACGAAAGUGUUAAAAGGCUCAAUGGAACACGAAAAAUGUAUCCAGGCUAAAAAUGUUCUUUCUUUGUAUUUUGAUUAGUUGUUCUUUGAGAGGACUCAGUGGCUUGGCGCGGGCAUUUGAGGUUUUUUUGUUAGAGCUAUAUGGGUGGAAAAUAAAAAACUUUAGUUGUUUAUUUAAGAGUUCUUACGUUUUUGUCAAAUUUUUUUCAAAGCAGCAACAGCGGAAACUGACCAAAGUACUUAACACAUGACAUUCGUAGGAAUCAUUGAAACACUAUAAGACCUGUUAGUUUAGUAUAAUUCUCACUCAGCUCCCCAGUCAGACACUUUGCACACCUGCUUCUCAUUAGUUAAUCUCCCCACCUGUUCCUCCUUAAUAAUUACCAUCCCACAGUUUAAGAGCUCCCUGGUUCCUUCAUUCCUUGUCAGAUCCUCCUCUUUUCACGGCUGUUGUAGCAAUCAUUUGCCCUGGGGUUUUAAAGCAUGUAUUUUUGACAAAAACAUGUUAAUUUAAGGUCCUUGUUUUAUAAACCCCCUUUUUUAGCUUGGUUUUUCUCCUGAUUAACCAACACAUGAAAUUAUCUUGCUUUUUUGGUACAAGUUUUAAACAAACAGUGUCUUGUUCUGAGUCACUUAAGUUGAGUAUUAUUCUCAGUUGAGAUUCGAUCAAGGCUCAAGUAUGAAGUAAAAUAAGAAUCCUAAACUGAAGAAAGUUAGGCUAGCUAACCAUUAGCAUUAGUAGCUCUACAACAUGGCAUAACGUCUUCAGGCCUGUUAUUCUUGGCAAUAAAGCAAAUGUUGCAGAGUAAACAGGAAGUGGUUGAGUCGUGUUGCUGUUCUACGAGAUCAGUAAUGAGACUUAUGACUCUUCAAAGGGAGCCAUUCAUGCAAGAGCCGGUUACCUUAAAGAGCAGUUCAAAAGACCAACUCUUUUGAACGGAAUGGAGCGAUCUUCCUGCGGAGAGGGGUUUACGUUAAGCUACGUGUCCCGCCGAUGUCCGUGAGGGUGUGGAAGUGAUGCGUUCUGUCGAAGCCCAUGAGACUGGGGGGUGUUUUAGUGUUAUGCCUAUGGGGGGGGCUUUAUUGCAACACGAGAUGAACGGUUCUACAAGUACUCGGCUCUCAUCAAUCACUUUAAAGAACCAUUUAAAAUAUUGUCUAAAUCCUGCAGUCCGAAGCUCACCUCUGCGGCGGCUCGCUUCUAGUUCCUGCUUUCCCACAGAGAUCAACUCAAAGGCAAUAUUUGUUCAAGAGACCACUGCCAAUUUAUAGAAAAAAACCGAGCGAACCUGGUCUUAAAACACUUUGUGAAGUUUCCGCUGACCUCCAUAAAUUAAA